UGCCCCCUCCCCGAUGGUACCUCCCGGAGAGCACGGUCCUACCUCUGCGCCCCUCAGUGGUACCGCCCAGGACAGAACUGUUCCAUCUCGCGCGCCCCUUGCUGGUGUGAACGGAAAACAGCUGGUCGGUGCAGAUGCCCAUGGGCCGUUGCAGGCUGGUCCCCAAAGGCUGGGAGGGCAAAGUUACGAUGAAAACCCCACAACUCGCUGCAGUCUUGGACCCGGGAAAAAGUCUUCCUAAGCUGAAAUUUGCCUCCCUGCGUUGGUCACCCUAGCGUUAGAACCCCCCCUGGGCAUUGUGCUGGCUUGUGCUUCCCUGGGCACUAUUAUGGGUGUUAGGAAUACAGCCGUUUGGAAAGAGACAAAAACGCUGGCCCUCGUGGAGCUUGCAUUCUAUUGGGAUCAUACAGCACAAAAACAUGAGUAAACUGAUGUGCUGUGCACCAGCUAACUAACUUACUCAAGGUCGCCGGAGCCAGGAGGGAAAACGCCAGUACUCGUGCCCAGGUCUGUCUGGCUCCAGAGCUCCUGCCCAUAACCCCCAGCUGUGCCUUAUUCCGCAGCAGUGUCAGUGACAGCGGUAGCCACUGACAUCACAAAGGUAGCCAAAGCCGAGCAAAGACCCCAUCUGCACAGUCCCCGAAACAAACAUGGUUCCCCACAACAUGAAGUGGAAAGACGAGAUAUUCAGAGUGCUCUCAGUCUCAGUGAGCCACCCCUCCCUGUGCGUGUCCUGUGGGCUGGAGAAUCCAUCCUGUGGGUCUUGUCCUCCAGGGACCUCUUAGCACUGCAGGAUCUCAUCCAAGGCUGACCUGAGCAACCCCCACCUCUCCCUGCACUGCUUGGCCGGGCAUGCUGGGGCCCCAUGUUCUAGGGACCCUCUGCCCCUGGACCCAGCUGACCCUUCACAACCUGCUUCCUGGCACUCUCCCCUUCGAGUGGCUGCAACAGCCCACAUUCACCCUUGAUUCUGUCAAUAGACCAGUGGAUGAGGAGAAUGAGGUACCAAGGGGUUAGGCUAGCUGCCCAGGGUCUCCCCACUAGUCCAUGGCAAACUUGGAUUCACACACUGCACUUUCUGACUCUAGGUGUCCUGACCUAAAACAACAUUCUCUUCUGCCUCUAGUAGCAGAUGCCCUUUAAAUGGUGCCCCCGUGCCACAUGCCUUACAUACAAUUCUCUAACAUCCUCCUCAUCAUAAAUAAUGGUAAUGGUCAGAAUAGCAAGAGCUGUUCCAUCUUUACACUGACAGAACCUCUGGAGUUUCCCUCAAUCUCUUCAUCACAGGACACACACACACAUGUCAUAUGAGAAAGAUAGGGGAUCUUCUUAACAUAGCAUUCGAGGACUAAUUGAAGACUGAACUAGGAAUUGGUUCUGGCCAGGAUGGGCUAACAGGUCUGGGUCUAUCCUCCCACUUUAAAUUACUGAAAAAUUGGAAGAGAUGGGUUUUGGACAUGGUACAUCAGGCAGUACAGGACACUGAUACCUGAGAGAAAGGGAAAAAUGAGGUGAGCACUACAAUUUCCCCCAGCUUACUGCCUAGAGAGGGUUUCCAGGCAUCAGUGCAGGGUGAGGGAACCCAAACAGAGUCCUACGGUCUCCCAGAGUUGAGGAACAGUUGAGAAUUCGGGGAGGUCAAGACAGGUAGAAUUCCUAGAGCAGAGGACCAGAGAAAAGAGAGCUGCAUGGAGAGGAGAGAGUUGCAGCGAGAGAGAGAGAGAGAAAGGGAGCGUGUGCGAGAGAGACAGAGCAUGCGUUCUGGAGAUCUGCAGAGGGUUCCCCUGGAGUCUCCAACUGAAUUCUGAUCAGUCCACGUGUGUGAGGAAACUACCCAAGGCCAGGGAAGAAACUACCAAAAAGGAGUGGGUGGCACAACGCCAUAGCUCACAGAAGGAUGGAAAUAGUUCACCUUCUCCCCUGCCAGAGGUGAAAAAAAUAAUAUGCAGCGUAUUGGGUAAACUUCUCAGCUGGUUGGGAAAACUCACCCUGGACUGAAGACUGUUCGGGUCCCAUCUAAUAAUGCUCAAAAGCAAGCCUCAAAAGGAUAAGACUGUUACCAAGUAUCUUAAAGGCAUCACAGGAUGAAGCUCCAAAUCACUUAAAGGAAUUAUUGUUAUUACUAUUAUAAAAUCCAGAACCCAACAAGGUAAAAUUCACAAUGUCUGGCAUCCAAUAAAAGAUUACUAGGCAUGCACAGAAUGAGAAAAUGGAACCAAUAGUGAGGAGAAAAAUUAAUCAAUAGAAAGAGACCCAGAAAUAACACAGACGAUAAAGUUAAGUGACAGGGACUUUAAAACAGCUAUUAUAAAUGUAUUCUGUGUGUUGAACAAGACAGAGGAAAGAGUGAGCAUGUUAACAGGAGAUAUGAAGUUAUUUAAAAAGACCCAAAUUGAACUUCGAGAGAUAAAAAUACAUGAUCUGAGAUGAAAAAUACACUGGAUGAGAUUAACAGUAGAUUUAGACAUUUCAGAGGAAAAGAUUAGUGAACUUGAAGACUCAAUGAGAUGUUUAAAAAAAAAAAAAAGCAUCCAAGAUGAAGCGCACAAAGGAAAAAAGAAAGUUUUGUUAGAAAUGAUUGGAGUGGGCCAGCCUGGUGGCAUAGUGGUUAAGUUUGCGUGCUCCGAUUUGGCGGCCCGGGGUUCACUGGUUCAGAUCUCAGGUGUCGACCUACACACUGCUUGUCAAGCCAUGCUGUGGCAGGAGUCCCACAUAUAAAAUGGAGGAAAGUGGGCACAGAUGUUGGCUCAGGGCCAAUCUUCCUCAGCAAAACGGAGGAGAAUUGGUGGCAGAUGUUAGCUCAGGGCCAAUCUUCCUUAAAAAAAUUUAAAAAAGUGAAUGGACUAAUAGUGAGCUGUAGGGCAACUUCAAGUAGCCUAAUAUACAUAUCAUUGGAGUUGCCGAAGGAGGGUGGGCACAAAAAAUGUUUCCAGAAAUAAUAGCAGAAAAUUUGCCAAAUUUCAUGCAAACCAUAAAGCCACAUCCAAGAAGCUCAAUGAAUCCCAAGCAGGAGGAGCAUAAAGAAAACUGCACCGACACAGUGUAAUUAAAAUGUUCAAAAGCUGUAAAAAAGAGAAAAUCUUAAAAGAAGCCAGAGGAUAAAAAGAUUCAUUAUGUAAGGUGGGCCAAAGAUAAAAUAUAACAGCACGUUUCUCUUCGGAAACAAUGGGAAGCAGAAAUCAGUGGAGCAACAUCAUUAAUGCAGUAAAAGAAAAGAAUUGUCAAACUAAAAUUGAAAACUGAGAUAAAGUAAUUUUCAAAAGUGACGACAAAAUAAUGACUUUUUUAGAGAUACUAAAGCUCGAAGAAUUCAUCUGCAAACCUGCACAAUACAAAAAAGGUCUUAAACGUCCUUCAGGGGCUGGCCCGGUGGUGUAGUGGUUGGGUUCACUGCUCCACUUCAGCGGCCCAGGGUUCGCAGGUUUGGACCCCAAGCGCGGACCUAGCACCACUCAUCAAGCCAUGCUGUGGUGGCAUC
rnacentral:lncRNA from 1 species